GACGAACGUUGGCGGCGUGCUUAAUACAUGCAAGUCGACUGAAGCAGUGGUAGCAAUAUCGCUGUGGAGGUGGCGCACGGGGGAGUAACACGUAGGUAAUCUGCCUUCAGGUCUGGCAUAACUCCGUGAAACCGGGGCUAAUAGCAGAUGAUGCAGCGGCGCGACAUCGAGACAGUAGGUAAAGCUAUGUCUCCUGAACAUGAGCCUGCGUCUGAUUAGCUAGUUGGCGGGGUAACGGCCCACCAAGGCAACGAUCAGUAGCUGGUCUGAGAGGAUGAUCAGCCACACUGGAACUGAGCAGCCGUCCAGACUCGUACGGGGGGCAGCAGUAAGGAAUAUUGCUCAAUGGGAGACAUCCUGAAGCAGCGACGCCGCGUGAGGGCCGAGGAGCUUUUGCUUGUAAACCUAUGUAGUGAGAGAAAAAAAUCCAACUCUUUGGGACAUGAUGGUAUCUCAAAAGUAAGCCCCGGCUAACUACGUG
rnacentral:rRNA from 1 species